GGCAACUUGGCCGAGCGGUUAAGGCGACGCACUCAAGGAUGUUUCUUCCUUACCCUUACAAAGGGUAGAUUUGCGUUCUCGAAAGGGGCGUGAGUUCGAAUCUCACAGUUGUCA